ACCAGGUCUUGACAUCCUCUGAAAACCCUAGAGAUAGGGCUUCUCCUUCGGGAGCAGAGUGACAGGUGGUGCAUGGUUGUCGUCAGCUCGUGUCGUGAGAUGUUGGGUUAAGUCCCGCAACGAGCGCAACCCUUGAUCUUAGUUGCCAUCAUUAAGUUGGGCACUCUAGGGUGACUGCCGGUGACAAACCGGAGGAAGGUGGGGAUGCCGUCAAAUCAUCAUGCCCCUUAUGACCUGGGCUACACACGUGCUACAAUGGACGGUACAAAGAGCUGCAAGACCGCGAGGUGGAGCUAAUCUCAUAAAACCGUUCUCAGUUCGGAUUGUAGGCUGCAACUCGCCUACAUGAAGCUGGAAUCGCUAGUAAUCGCGGAUCAGCAUGCCGCGGUGAAUACGUUCCCGGGCCUUGUACACACCGCCCGUCACACCACGAGAGUUUGUAACACCCGAAGUCGGUGGGGUAACCUUUUUGGAGCCAGCCGCCUAAGGUGGGACAGAUGAUUGGGGUGAAGUCGUAACAAGGUAGCCGUAUCGGAAGGUGCGGCUGGAUCACCUCCUU
rnacentral:rRNA from 1 species